GACAAUACUGACGCUGAGAUGCGAAGCGUGGGGAGCAAACAGGAUUAGAUACCUGGUAGUCCACGCUGUAAACGAUGUCGAUUUGGAGUUUGGGGGCAUGACCCUUGGGCUCCGGAGCUAACGCGUUAAAUCGACCGCUGGGGAGUACGGCCGCAAGGUUAAAACUCAAAUGAAUUGACGGGGGCCCGCACAAGCGGUGGAGCAUGUGGUUUAAUUCGAUGCAACGCGAAGAACCUUACCUGGUCUUGACAUCCAUAGAAUCUUUCAGAGAUGAGAGAGUGCCUUCGGGAGCUAUGAGACAGGUGCUGCAUGGCUGUCGUCAGCUCGUGUUGUGAAAUGUUGGGUUAAGUCCCGCAACGAGCGCAACCCCUAUCCUUUGUUGCCAGCACGUAAUGGUGGGAACUCAAAGGAGACUGCCGUUGAUAAAGCGGAGGAAGGUGGGGACGACGUCAAGUCAUCAUGGCCCUUACGACCAGGGCUACACACGUGCUACAAUGGCGUAUACAAAGGGAUGCGAAGGUGCGAACUGGAGCGGACCUCACAAAGUACGUCUAAGUCCGGAUUGGAGUCUGCAACUCGACUCCAUGAAGUCGGAAUCGCUAGUAAUCGUGAAUCAGAAUGUCACGGUGAAUACGUUCCCGGGCCUUGUACACACCGCCCGUCACACCAUGGGAGUGGGUUGCACCAGAAGUAGAUAGCUUAACCUUCGGGAGGGCGUUUACCACGGUGUGGUUCAUGACUGGGGUGAAGUCGUAACAAGGUAACCA
rnacentral:rRNA from 1 species